rnacentral:rRNA from 1 species
UCGGGAAUUUUGGGCAAUGGGCGAAAGCCUGACCCAGCAACGCCGCGUGAAGGAUGAAGUAUUUCGGUAUGUAAACUUCGAAAGAAUAGGAAGAAUAAAUGACGGUACUAUUUAUAAGGUCCGGCUAACUACGUGCCAGCAGCCGCGGUAAUACGUAGGGACCAAGCGUUGUUCGGAUUUACUGGGUGUAAAGGGCGCGUAGGCGGCAAUUCAAGUCAUCUGUGAAAUCUCCGGGCUUAACUCGGAACGGUCAGAUGAUACUGCUUUGCUAGAGUGCAGAAGGGGCAAUCGGAAUUCUUGGUGUAGCGGUGAAAUGCGUAGAUAUCAAGAGGAACACCUGAGGUGAAGGCGGAUCUCUGGACCGGUUCUGACGCUGAGGAGCGAAAGCUAGGGGAGCAAACAGGAUUAGAUACCCACGUAGUCCCUGAGCGGGCUGGCAAGGCGCAU